rnacentral:rRNA from 1 species
GAUGAACGCUGGCGGCGUGCCUAAUACAUGCAAGUCGAGCGAACAGACGAGGAGCUUGCUCCUCUGACGUUAUCGGCGGACGGGUGAGUAACACGUGGAUAACCUACCUAUAAGACUGGGAUAACUUCGGGAAACCGGAGCUAAUACCGGAUAAUAUAUUGAACCGCAUGGUUCAAUAGUGAAAGACGGUUUUGCUGUCACUUAUAGAUGGAUCCGCGCCGCAUUAGCUAGUUGGUAAGGUAACGGCUUACCAAGGCAACGAUGCGUAGCCGACCUGAGAGGGAGAUCGGCCACACUGGAACUGAGACAGGGUCCAGACCCCUACGGGAGGGAGCAGUAGGGAAUCUUCCGCAAUGAGCGAAAGCCUGACGGAGAAACGCCGCGGGAGUGAUGAAGGUCUUCGGAUCGUAAAACUCUGUUAUUAGGGAAGAACAAAUGUGUAAGUAACUAUGCACGUCUUGACGGUACCUAAUCAGAAAGCCACGGCUAACUACGUG